GUCACUUGGUCAGUGCUUGGGAGACACCUAGUGGCUGGUAGACGGCCACUAGAAGUGGACUUAACCAUGCUAUGUAAACCACUGCAGUUUCCAAAAAAACAAAACUGAUGGUACAAUACAGGGAUUGGAUUGCACCCAGCAUAUCUCUUUAAAGGAAAUUGGGUUAUAGUGUUAGAUGUCUUUGGAAUUAAAUGCAGCAGAAAAAGGAUGGAGUCAUUGCCUACAUGCAG